AUUGAACGCUGGCGGCAUGCUUUACACAUGCAAGUCGAACGGUAACAGCACUUCGGUGGCUGACGAGUGGCGAACGGGUGUGUAAUACAUCUGAACGUGCCUAGUAGUGGGGGAUAACUACUCGAAAGAGUAGCUAAUACCGCAUGAGAUCUAAGGAUGAAAGCAGGGGACCUUCGGGCCUUGCGCUACUAGAGCGGCUGAUGGCAGAUUAGGUAGUUGGUGGGAUAAAGGCUUAUCAAGCCGACGAUCUGUAGCUGGUCUGAGAGGACGACCAGCCACACUGGGACUGAGACACGGCCCAGACUCCUACGGGAGGCAGCAGUGGGGAAUUUUGGACAAUGGGCGCAAGCCUGAUCCAGCAAUGCCGCGUGCAGGAUGAAGGCCUUCGGGUUGUAAACUGCUUUUGUACGGAACGAAAAGCCCUCUUCUAAUACAGGAGGGUCAUGACGGUACCGUAAGAAUAAGCACCGGCUAACUACGUG
rnacentral:rRNA from 1 species